rnacentral:rRNA from 1 species
CUUUUGGGAUGGUUUAGUGGCGGACGGGUGAGUAACACGUGAGCAACCUACCUUUCAGAGGGGGAUAACAGUUGGAAACGACUGCUAAUACCGCAUAACGUUGUAAAAGGGCAUCCAUUUACAACCAAAAGAGAAAUCUGCUGAAAGAUGGGCUCGCGGCCGAUUAGAUAGUAGGCGGGGUAACGGCCCACCUAGUCAACGAUCGGUAGCCGGACUGAGAGGUUGAACGGCCACAUUGGGACUGAGACACGGCCCAGACUCCUACGGAAGGCAGCAG